GCGAGUUUGGCCGAGUGGUUAUGGCGUGACGUUUAGGUAAUAAACAUUACGACCGUCAUGGGUACGCCCGCGCGCGUUCGAAUCGCGUAGCUCGCA